GCUGGCGGCGUGCUUAACACAUGCAAGUCGAACGGAAAGGCCCUUCGGGGUACUCGAGUGGCGAACGGGUGAGUAACACGUGGGUGAUCUGCCCUGCACUCUGGGAUAAGCCUGGGAAACUGGGUCUAAUACCGGAUAGGACCACACACUUCAUGGUGAGUGGUGCAAAGCUUUUGCGGUGUGGGAUGAGCCCGCGGCCUAUCAGCUUGUUGGUGGGGUAAUGGCCCACCAAGGCGACGACGGGUAGCCGGCCUGAGAGGGUGACCGGCCACACUGGGACUGAGAUACGGCCCAGACUCCUACGGGAGGCAGCAGUGGGGAAUAUUGCACAAUGGGCGCAAGCCUGAUGCAGCGACGCCGCGUGAGGGAUGACGGCCUUCGGGUUGUAAACCUCUUUCAGUAGGGACGAAGCGAAAGUGACGGUACCUACAGAAGAAGGACCGGCCAACUACGU
rnacentral:rRNA from 1 species